GGGUCAGUAGGUUGGUCGUGCCACCGGUACGUACUGGUCUCACUGAUUCCUCCUUCCUGAAGAACCGUAAUGCCAUUAAUUUGGUGUUGCGGGGAAACAGGACUGUUACUUUGAAAAAAUUAGAGUGUUUAAAGCAAGCUAACGCUUGAAUACAUUGGCAUGGAAUAAUGAAACAGGACGAUCGAUCCUAUUUUGUUGGUUUCUAGGAUUGACGUA
rnacentral:rRNA from 1 species